rnacentral:rRNA from 1 species
GACGAACGCUGGCGGCGUGCUUAACACAUGCAAGUCGAACGGAAAGGCCCUGCUUGCAGGGUACUCGAGUGGCGAACGGGUGAGUAACACGUGGGUGAUCUGCCCUGCACUUCGGGAUAAGCCUGGGCAACUGGGUCUAAUACCGGAUAGGAGCCAUUUUUAGUGUGAUGGUUGGAAAGUUUUUUCGGUGUAGGAUGAGCUCGCGGCCUAUCAGCUUGUUGGUGGGGUAAUGGCCUACCAAGGCGGCGACGGGUAGCCGGCCUGAGAGGGUGGACGGCCACAUUGGGACUGAGGUACGGCCCAGACACCGACGGGAGGCAGCAGUGGGGAAUAUUGCACAAUGGGCGCAAGCCGGAUGCAGCGACGCCGCGUGGGGGAUGACGGCCUUCGGGUUGUAAACUCCUUUCGCUAGGGACGAAGCUUUUUGUGACGGUACCUAGAUAAGAAGCACCGGCUAACUACGUG